CCCUUAGAUGUUCUGGGCCGCACGCGCGCUACACUGACGGAGGCAGCGAGCGUGUCCUUCGCCGGCAGGUGCGGGCAAUCUUGCGAGUCUCCGUCGUGCUGGGGAUAGAUGGUUGCAAUUGUCGAUCUUGAACGAGGAAUUCCUAGUAAGCGCGAGUCAUCAGCUCGCGCUGAUUACGUCCCUGCCCUUUGUACACACCGCCCGUCGCUACUACAGAGUGCCCGUGUCCAAGAAACGGUCGGACCUGUGCGGCCUCUCCGGGCGACCGGAGGGCCGUUACGGGGAAGACCCUGUAUUUGACGCGGGUCGAUGAAGUAAAAGUCGUAACA
rnacentral:rRNA from 1 species